rnacentral:tRNA from 1 species
CUGUAGCUCAGUUGGUUAGAGCGCACCCCUGAUAAGGGUGAGGUCGCAGUUCGAAUCUGCCCAG